GCACAUUUCAAUGAUUGGAGUUUUCCUUGUCCUUGUGAAACUGUCUUUCUCCCUUCCCCUCUCAUUUCAGAUUCUUUGUCCCACAACCACAGCACAGAGACUACCAGGCCCAAUUAGAAUCUGGCUGCUAAUCAAGAGUAAACAUCAGCAUGAAUAUAUCAUAUGGCAUCUGUUGAAGGAAUUCGAAAUGCAAAGGAAGAGAAGACAUAUCUGGUGUCACAUAACUGAAGGAUUUCCACAUAGAAGAAAGAUUAGAAUUCCUUUACUUGGUCUCAGAGAACAAAACCAAGAACCAGGCAGAGAAUCAGACUUCAGCUGGAUGAAAUGGAAAUCUUCCUAAAGAUUAGGACUAUGCGAAAGUGGGAUGGAUUGACUGGAAAGAGUAUCUUCUCCCUCAGUAAAUGUCUUCAAACAUAUAUUGGAUACCCACUUAUUCAGUAUGGUACAGAGUUUCUUUUUUCAGGUAUUGGCUGAGUCAAGUCAAUCAUCUCCUAAAGAACAAAGAUUUUUGUUAAACUUAAUUAUAAAUAUUGACCAUCUUUACUGAUCAAAUUAACUAGACAAUUUCUUAACCCUGUGUAGUCAUACUAUCAGGAGAAAGAACAGAAAAAAAUGGAUAAGGUGAUCAGUGCCAAAUGAAUGGAAGUAGAGAAGGGAAGCAACUGUGAAUGACUAUAAGACUUAGCAAUUUAAGAGACAAGGUCAAGAUGGCAUAGACCACAGAAUGCCCAAUCUAGAAAUUACCUUAGAGUAUCUACUCUAACUCCCUCCUUUUGCAGAUGAGGAAACUGAGACUAAGGAAGGCUAUUAAGUUCCUACUAACCCUGCUCAGACCAUGCCAGGAAAAUUACUGUACAAAUGAGAGUCAUGUUUAGGAUUAGGAUAAAAGUGCUGUCCAAUUAAAAUAAUCCACCAAAGAAGGAGAUGAAGGUCUUUUCCUUUGUUUGCCAAAAGGCUUAAUGGGAUUUUCCUCUUUAAGUAAUCUCAUUACCAAAACGCAAUUCAUUUCACCUUUCCUUAGAGGUCAAACCUAGAGACUUUGAUCCAAUCCACAAUGAUUCUAUAUCAUUCAACAUUCUAUGGGCUAGACAUAACACCCAAGAAGAGCUCAACAAACAGUUGUAAAGAAGAUGAGAAAUGAGGUGUUUCCAAAAAAGGGAAAAGUUUCCAAAUAUUUUCUUUCUAUAGAACUUAGUUUCUAACAUCUGACGUUGUUCUCUCCUCUCUGCACCCUGAGGAGCAUUCUAAGGCCUCUCCUUGGCCAAUCUUUCAAUAAAAAGACUAUCCUAGAGAAGUCUAAGUGACA
rnacentral:lncRNA from 1 species